CCUACGGGGGGCUGCAGUGGGGAAUUUUGCGCAAUGCUCGUAAGAGUGACGCAGCGACGCCGCGUGAAUGACGAAGGCCUUCGGGUCGUAAAGUUCUUUCGACAGGGAAGAAAAUGCCUAUAAGUAACUGUGUAUGUAUUGACGGUACCUGUAUAAGCAGCCCCGGCUAACUCCGUGCCAGCAGCCGCGGUAAUACGGAGGGGGCGAGCGUUGUUCGGAGUGACUGGGCGUAAAGAGCACGUAGGCGGUGUUGUAAGUCAUUAGUCAAAGACUAGAGCUCAACUUUAGUAAGGCUAGUGAUACUAUAAUACUAGAGUAUCAGAGAGGAUUGCAGAAUUCCUGGUGUAGCGGUGAAAUGCGUAGAUAUCAGGAGGAAUACCGUUAGCGAAGGCAGCAUACCGGCGCCCAACUGACGCUGAAGCACGAAAGCGUGGGUAUCGAACAGGAUUAGAUACCCGAGUAGUC
rnacentral:rRNA from 1 species